AUGAAAUAUUACGAGAUUAGUGAGCUCCAAGAGUGUGGCAUGUUUCCAUGUGUAACCAUGGGUUCCAACCCCAGAUCUGUUUCCUCGUUGUUCCGCCCGGAGGGCGAGCUUCCGAUCGUCUCGGGUCUCAGGCUGUCGGAGGGCUCGGCGGACUCGGAGGCUCGUGAUUUGCCGGCGGUCGACUCGGCGAUGCGGUCGGUGCCGGCGGCGGCGAAGGGCUGGGUGCAGCGCAUCCGCAACGGCUUGGAGGCCCAAGAUGGCGAUUCUGGUGCUUGGGCUGGGCGCUCCUCGCCUCCGCCACGUCCGGAGGUGAUCCCGGAGAUGAAAGACAAGUGCUUUCACUGCCUUGAGAAAGGCCACUACAAACGCGACUGCACCAACCUGGAGGUGUGCAUCCGCUGUGGGCUGCCAGGCCAUGGUUCCUGUGACUGCAAGCAUCCUCGGAGUCCGUCAUCACCGGAUGAGCUGCGGCGGGAGGCCAUUGCAAUCCUCACCGCGCUCCAGCCCCGAUCGCGUCCCCCAGCGGGCGCAGCUCCCUCCGCUGCCCCGCCCCUGCCCCUGCCUUGA
rnacentral:rRNA from 1 species